rnacentral:rRNA from 1 species
UACGGAGGAUGCAAGCGUUAUCCGGAAUGAUUGGGCGUAAAGCGUCCGCAGGUGGCUAUGUAAGUCUGCUGUUAAAGAGUCUAGCUCAACUAGAUAAGAGCAGUGGAAACUACAAGGCUAGAGUACGUUCGGGGCAGAGGGAAUUCCUGGUGUAGCGGUGAAAUGCGUAGAGAUCAGGAAGAACACCAGUGGCGAAGGCGCUCUGCUAGGCCGUAACUGACACUGAGGGACGAAAGCUAGGGGGGCGAAUGGG